rnacentral:rRNA from 1 species
AUUGAACGCUGGCGGCAGGCCUAACACAUGCAAGUCGAGCGGAGCGGCGGACGGGGGAGUAAUGCAUAGGAAUCUGCCUGGUAGUGGGGGAGAACGUCCGGAAACGGGCGCUAAUACCGCAUACUAUCAGCAGAGCAUAGGUCGGAUUAGCUAGUUGGGGGGGUAAAGGCCUACCAAGGCGACGAUCCGGAACUGGUCUGAGAGGAUGAUCAGUCACACUGGAACUGAGACACGGUCCAGACUCCUACGGGAGGCAGCAGUGGGGAAUAUUGGACAAUGGGCGAAAGCCUGAUCCAGCCAUGCCGCGUAUGUGAAGAAGGUCUUCGGAUUGUAAAGCACUUUAAGUUGGGAGGCGUUACCAACAGAAUAAGCACCGGCUAACUUCGUGCCAGCAGCCGCGGUAAUUC